UAUUUAAUCUAAAUAAUGUAAAUAACUUAUAAUACAAAUAUAUUAUAUAUAAUUGUUACAACAGUUUAACUAAUUAAAACAUCAAUGUUUCGAAAACAAUAGUCAAUUAUUACAGUAAUUCAAAUAUUCCCGCUUGCGGUAUCGAUCAAGAGGGAAGUACAACAUAUAUAUAUAUAUAUAUAUACGUAUAUAAAUAUGUAUAUAUACCGUGCAAUGCAACGAAAGUGUUGCUUUUGCAAUAUACAUUAUAUUUAACUACAUAGAUUUGAGGAAUUUCAGCAAAGCCAUUUGAUUUGAAAAAAACUUUUAAAAAGCUUAAUAUAAAAAGUGUUAUAAGAAUUAAUUACUAGACAAGAGUAUAAACUUUUAACUAUUGUAGAUAACCUGUUGUUACCCAAACGUAAUCAAAGCAUAAGAAUUUUAUUGUAAAUGAGUGAUUCUGCAUAAAUUGCACUAUUGUACAAAACGUUAAUAAGAGCACCUUGAAGAAAGGAAGAAACUUCGUUUUCAUAUAAAGCUUAUUUUGAUUUUAAAAGUUAACUAAAAAGUAAAAAGCAAUAAUCAAUUGAAAAUGUUUAAAUUUUUGGUACAUCUAAAUGUCUAUUUUGUAAAUAGUGGUAUUAUUGAAUAGAAAUAUGUAAUACUAAUAUCUUUUUUAGAUAACCUUAAGCAUUGGGAUUUAUGCUGGUAUAUAUAUAAGUCAAAACUAUGAGAUACCUCGUAUAGAUGAGCCUAAGAAGAUAAUAGAACGAAUAAAGGAAAUUACAGAUGAAUAUAAAAAAAAAUAAUUAAUGAUUUAUCUAAUAAUACUAUUACGUUUGUGGAAUAAGUUUUAAUCCAGUUUAUUGUACAUAUACGUUUAUAUAUAUAAACAUGUAACACAAUUUGAUUUGGUUUGAUUUUAAUAAAACAUUUUAUGUAA